CCUACGGGAGGCUGCAGUGGGGAAUAUUGCGCAAUGGGCGAAAGCCUGACGCAGCGACGCCGCGUGAGGGAUGAAGGUCUUCGGAUCGUAAACCUCUGUCAGCAGGGAAGAACGGUCACUGUGCUAAUCAGCAGUGAAUUGACGGUACCUGCAAAGGAAGCACCGGCUAACUCCGUGCCAGCAGCCGCGGUAAUACGGAGGGUGCGAGCGUUAAUCGGAAUUAUUGGGCGUAAAGCGCUCGUAGGCGGUAUGUCAAGUCAAGGGUGAAAUCCCCGCGCUCAACGUGGGAACUGCCUUUGAAACUGGCAAACUGGAGUGUGUAAGAGGAUAGUGGAAUUCGAGGUGUAGGAGUGAAAUCCGUAGAUAUCUGGAAGAACAUCAGUGGCGAAGGCGACUAUCUGGCACAUGACUGACGCUGAGGCGCGAAAGCGUGGGUAGCAAACAGGAUUAGAUACCCUAGUAGUC
rnacentral:rRNA from 1 species